rnacentral:piRNA from 1 species
UCACAAGUUCCAGGAUGAAGUGAACAGGC